GCCUUCGUGGUGUAGUGGUCAGCACGCUGGACGCGUAACCGAGAGGUCCGUGGUUCGAUUCCCGACGAAGGCA
rnacentral:tRNA from 1 species